rnacentral:rRNA from 1 species
GACGAACCGUGCGAACGUUGUUCGGAAUCACUGGGCUUAAAGGGCGCGUAGGCGGGUCACAAAGUCCGGGGUGAAAUCCUCCAGCUCAACUGGAGAACUGCCUCGGAUACUGGGUGCCUCGAGGGUGGUAGGGGUAUGCGGAACUAUCGGUGGAGCGGUGAAAUGCGUUGAUAUCGAUAGGAACUCCGGUGGCGAAGGCGGCAUACUGGACCACAUCUGACGCUGAGGCGCGAAAGCCAGGGGAGCAAACGGG